UACGAAGGGGGCUAGCGUUGUUCGGAAUCACUGGGCGUAAAGCGCACGUAGGCGGAUCUUUAAGUCAGGGGUGAAAUCCCGAGGCUCAACCUCGGAACUGCCUUUGAUACUGGGGAUCUCGAGUCCGGGAGAGGUGAGUGGAACUGCGAGUGUAGAGGUGAAAUGCGUAGAUAUCGGAAGGAACAUUAGUGGCGAAAGCGGCUUCCUGGUCCAGCACCGACGUCAGGCACGAAAGCGUGGGGAGCAAACAGG
rnacentral:rRNA from 1 species